AUGUGCUUGGCGUCUUACUGGAGAGCAGAGCUCACUUCAAUGUGGCUGCUCUUCCCAGGAUUGAACACUCAGGAGCCUGGUCUGAAAUCUCCAGCCUUCCUUCAGGUUUUAUUUUUACUAAAGCCAGCCGGUACUCUUUUAAACCAGGGAGCUGAAGGCUGGCUUCUGAAAAUACACCCCACAGGCCACUCUGCCGUGGCUUGUUCAGGCAUUCCAGGGAGGGCUUGCUGACCUGAAGGUGUCCUCUGGCCCAGGUCAAAAGACCAGAGAAGACACUGGCGCCAGGACCCGCCACUGGCAAGGUAGCUGCCAUCUGAGGAAGAGUCUGCCGAAGGUGAAGGCCAUGGACUUCAUCACCUCCACAGCCAUCCUGCCCCUGCUGUUCAGCUGCCUGGGCGUCUUCGGCCUCUUCCGGCUGCUGCAGUGGGUGCGCGGGAAGGCCUACCUGCGGAAUGCUGUGGUGGUGAUCACAGGCGCCACCUCAGGGCUGGGCAAAGGUGGGUCCUGGAGGCAGUGCUGCCAGGGGGCGGGGGUAAGUCAGCCAGGGAUGAGGAGCGGCCCAACUGCACAGGGAUCGCCAGUGCAAAUGCCCGAAGCGGCAGCAGAAGGCCAGAUAAGGGAAGUGGGCCGUAUGGCACUGUCCUUGGUCCAAGUGGAAAAAGCAGGAGCCAAGGCACAGUGAGAAAUGACUCAGCAUCAGGGUGGGAGGCAAGCGUUGAGAAGCAGCCUGGCCUCAGGGGUGG
rnacentral:sRNA from 1 species